rnacentral:rRNA from 1 species
AUUGAACGCUGGCGGCAGGCCUAACACAUGCAAGUCGAACGGUAACAGGAAGCAGCUUGCUGCUUUGCUGACGAGUGGCGGACGGGUGAGUAAUGUCUGGGAAACUUCCUGAUGGAGGGGGAUAACUACUGGAAACGGUAGCUAAUACCGCAUAACGUCGCAAGACCAAAGAGGGGGACCUUCGGGCCUCUUGCCCUCGGAUGUGCCCAGAUGGGAUUAGCUAGUAGGUGGGGUAACGGCUCACCUAGGCGACGAUCCCUAGCUGGUCUGAGAGGAUGACCAGCCACACUGGAACUGAGACACGGUCCAGACUCCUACGGGAGGCAGCAGUGGGGAAUAUUGCACAAUGGGCGCAAGCCUGAUGCAGCCAUGCCGCGUGUAUGAAGAAGGCCUUCGGGUUGUAAAGUACUUUCAGCGGGGAGGAAGGGAGUAAAGUUAAUACCUUGGCUCAUUGACGUUACCCGCAGAAGAAGCACCGGCUAACUCCGUG